rnacentral:rRNA from 1 species
AUCGAUGAAGAACGCAGCGAAACGCGAUAGGUAAUGUGAAUUGCAGAAUUCCGUGAAUCAUCGAAUCUUUGAACGCACCUUGCGCUCUAUGGCAAUCCGUAGAGCAUGCCUGUUUGAGWGCCAUGAAAUCUCCCACCCCAAGCGGUUUYUAMAUGAAACGGCUUGGCGGAUGGGGUCUGGAUGGGUGCCUCUGCCUGCGCUACCUAGCACAGGCUCGCCCGAAAUGCAUGAGCGCCUUGAGACACUUUGCAUCCGCCUCUCUGUUUGGGAGGAGGCGGCCAAGCAGUGUUUUUCUCCUNGCAUGGCAUGAUACGUCAUUUGCUAUGUCGCCUAAAGGAGGAAUGUUUGGUUGUGUCUGCGUGUGCUUCGAACUUGCCUCUGUGGCACAUCCCAAUUUCACUUCUGGUCUCAAAUCAGGUAGGAUCACCCGCUGAACUUAAGCAUAUCAAUAAGCGGAGGAAAAGAAACUAACAAGGAUUCCCCUAGUAACGGCGAGCGAAGCGGGAAGAGCUCAAAUUUGAAAGCUGGCGUCUUCGGCGUCCGCGUUGUAAUCUCGAGACGUGUUUUCCGUGCGGCUCUAUGGACAAGUCCCUUGGAACAGGGCAUCGUAGAGGGUGAAAAUCCCGUACUUGCCAUGGAAGUACCGUGCUUUGUGAUACACGCUCCAAGAGUCGAGUAGUUUGGGAUUGCUGCUCAAAGUGGGUGGUAGACUCCAUCUAAAGCUAAAUAUCGGGGAGAGACCGAUAGCGAACAAGUACCGUGAGGGAAAGAUGAAAAGCACUUUGGAAAGAGAGUUAAAAGUACGUGAAAUUGUCGAAAGGGAAGCACUUGAAGUCAGCCAUGCUGCUUGAGACUCAGCCUGGCUUUUGCUUGGUGUAUUUCUCGGUAGCAAGCCAGCAUUGGUUUGUGUCGUCGGAGAAGCGUAUGGGGAAUGUGGCAUCCUCGGAUGUGUUAUAGCCCUGUGCAGGAUACGACGACGUAGACCAAGGAACGCAGUGUGCCCUCUGGGCGGGUCUUCGGACACCUUCACACUUAGGAUGCUGGCGUAAUGGCUUUAAGUGGCCCGUCUUGAAACACGG